AGAAAAUUGGACUGAUUGUUU
rnacentral:miRNA from 1 species